rnacentral:rRNA from 1 species
UCGUAACAAGGUUUCCGUAGGUGAACCUGCGGAAGAAUCAUUAAUUAUGUUAAAGCGCCUUACCUCUUAGGGUUUCCUCUGGGGUAAGUGAUUGCUUCUACACUGUGAAAAUUUGGCUGAGAGACUCAGACUGGUCAUGGGUAGACCUAUCUGGGGUUUGAUCGAUGCCACUCCUGGUUUCAGGAGCACCCUUCAUAAUAAACCUAGAAAUUCAGUAUUAUAAAGUUUAAUAAAAAACAACUUUUAACAAUGGAUCUCUUGGUUCUCGCAUCGAUGAAGAACGUAGCAAAGUGCGAUAACUAGUGUGAAUUGCAUAUUCAGUGAAUCAUCGAGUCUUUGAACGCAGCUUGCACUCUAUGGUUUUUCUAUAGAGUACGCCUGCUUCAGUAUCAUCACAAACCCACACAUAACAUUUGUUUAUGUGGUAAUGGGUCGCAUCGCUGUUUUAUUACAGUGAGCACCUAAAAUGUGUGUGAUUUUCUGUCUGGCUUGCUAGGCAGGAAUAUUACGCUGGUCUCAGGAUCUUUUUCUUUGGUUCGCCCAGGAAGUAAAGUACAAGAGUAUAAUCCAGCAACUUUCAAACUAUGAUCUGAAGUCAGGUGGGAUUACCACUGUCCUGAACUUAAGCAUAUCAAUAA